AGCGAACGCUGGCGGCAGGCCUAAUACAUGCAAGUCGAACGCACCUUCGGGUGAGUGGCGGACGGGUGAGUAACGCGUGGGAACGUGCCCUUUGGUACGGAACAACUGAGGGAAACUUCAGCUAAUACCGUAUGUGCCCUUCGGGGGAAAGGUUUAUAGACAUUGGAGCGGCGCGCGUUGGAUUAGCAAGUUGGUGGGGUAAAGUCCCACAAAGGCUACGACCUAUAGCUGGUGGUAGAGGAUGAUCAGACACACUGGGACUGAGACACAGCCCAGACUCCUACGGGAGGCAGCAGUAGGGAAUCUUGCGCAAUGGGCGAAAGCCUGACGCAGCCAUGCCGCGUGAAUGAUGAAGGUCUUAGGAUUGUAAAAUUCUUUCACCGGGGAAGAUAAUGACGGUACCCGGAGAAGAAGCCCCGGCUAACUGCGUGCCAGCAGCCGCAGUAA
rnacentral:rRNA from 1 species